UGCCCUAGUAACGGCGAGUGAAGCGGCAACAGCUCAAAUUUGAAAGCUGGCCUUCGGGUCCGCAUUGUAAUUUGUAGAGGAUGCUUUGGGUGAAACGCCAGUCUAAGUUCCUUGGAACAGGACGUCAUAGAGGGUGAGAAUCCCGUAUGUGACUGGAAAUGUUAACCUAUGUAAAGCUCCUUCGACGAGUCGAGUUGUUUGGGAAUGCAGCUCUAAAUGGGAGGUAAAUUUCUUCUAAAGCUAAAUAUUGGCGAGAGACCGAUAGCGCACAAGUAGAGUGAUCGAAAGAUGAAAAGCACUUUGGAAAGAGAGUUAAAAAGCACGUGAAAUUGUUGAAAGGGAAGCGCUUGCAAUCAGACUUGUUUAAACUGUUCGGCCGGUCUUCUGACCGGUUUACUCAGUUUGGACAGGCCAGCAUCAGUUUCGGCGGCCGGAUAAAGGCUCUGGGAAUGUGGCCUUCACUUCGGUGAAGGUGUUAUAGCCCAGGGUGUAAUACGGCCAGCCGGGACUGAGGUCCGCGCUUCGGCUAGGAUGCUGGCGUAAUGGUUGUAAGCGACCCGUCUUGAAA
rnacentral:rRNA from 1 species